GGAUUGGAGAAGAGGGGGCCCAUUAAGAGAAAAGCCCUAGAGAUUGGCCUCAGUUUACUCCCUCCCCAAGGGCCCUUCAGUGUCUUCCACUCAGGCCCUGUCAGCCUCCUGUCCUUCCCUCUGGCUCCAGGAGAUCAAAGUACUCCAAAAAUGCAGCUGCUUCAGUGACAAGAGGGAAUUACCUUCUCCCAAGCCUCAGGAUCCUGGUACCCGACUUGCCUGCCCCAGGCUCACUCCCAUUCACACAGUCCUUCAUGGCAGUGUCCAGCUUCACCAGGUCAAAGCUACCUAGAUGUCAUCAUACAAAUUACAGGCUAUGACGUCCACCUCAUUCUCUUUCUGGAAGGCUGACCUUAACUGUCCUGCACAUUCCUUACACAGCAUAUUUGCCCUUUUCCUAUACUAAUAAGCCCUAAAUCUUGGGGGUAACAGCCUGGGGAACUACCUGUCUUGCUACCACUCAAGACCAUACUUCUGUCCACAAAUUCCCCCCAAUAAAUUAUCUUUUACUGACAAA